CAUUUUUAGGAAUGAGGGAAACUGAGGCACAAAGAGUUGCAUCAUUGCCCAAGGUCAAACAUCAUACCACAUUAUCCUAUAGCUACCUACAAUUUUACCUAAUCAGCAGAUAAUGACCCAAAUAGGAAGUAUAGGAAAGGCAGAGCCAGACAGGGGGUGCACAGCCAAAUAUUCAGCCCACAAGCAGUCAGUUGCUACAGGUGUUAGCUACUGACUCUGGGUACACAGGCGACACCUACUUAUUUUAAGCCUAAGGGAGAGAAGGUUUAUUGACAGUAUCAGCCAGGACCUGGCAGGAAACAGAUGGCACAAUCCAGAGUGUUCAGCUGAAAAAAAUGUAAUGGAGGGACUAUUUACAGAAGGGCAGGCGGAUGAAAGGAAGCAGCGUGGGGCGAUGAGGCCCCGGAAACAACAAAUGCCGGAAGCGGUCACCACCUCUAGGACUGGCAGGCUGAUGGUGGAGGGACCGGGUCAACAGAAGGCAGGGAGCGCUGGGCCAGGGAGGGGGCUGCGGCCACCCAUGGGACGGCCUGGUCCCUUCCAUCUCCUGCUGGUGUCUCCCCUUAGCAGAAAAUUCAGGAAUCCCCGGGACAGAGGGGCCUCGGUGAGGCUGCCCUGUAGAUGCCCCCAACCACACGGCAGAGGAGGGCAGAAGACGAAGGGGCGGGGGACGCAGAGAAAGGAAGCAACAGAGACUAGAUCAGUUCCCAGACUGGCUGUGUUUACAUCGUCGUGGGACAUCAGGCCCUGGUUGCCUCUGUGGACAGAGGCGACAGGGCAAGGCACAUGCGUCUGCUAAGGAUUCCUGGCUCUCAGAUUGAUCAAGUAAUCAGUUCCACGAUGAAAACUCCAAGCCUCAAGACUAUGCCUCCAGUUGCUGGUAUCUUCAAGGCAGUGGUUUUCAACUGGGAGUGAUAUUUGUUCCCUAGGAAUGCCAGCCUGGAGUGAUUAUGUUCCUACAGGAUAUCCGGAACAUCAUCCAUCACAGCACUUUUCAGAAGCGCUCACCAGAGGCAAGGCUGUGGGUGGCCCUGGCCCCACACCUACUCACUGGCAAAGCAAAAAUAAACACACAAAAAAAUCCAA